GCCCUGGUGGCCGAGCGGUCUAAGGCGUGAGACCUUGGGUCGUCUCAUUGGUUCAAUCCAGCGCGGGUUCGAAUACCGCCCAGGGCA
rfam:Caenorhabditis brenneri strain PB2801 C_brenneri-6.0.1_Cont1233.1, whole genome shotgun sequence.